CGUACUUUGGAGGUACGUUGGAACAGAAAAUGGCGUGUUCCAAGUUUAUCCCGGAACGAUGUUAUCCGACGUUUAUGAUCCUCGUCUGGACACGUGGUACAAAGAGGCUAUCGGACACAAAAAUGCAACAGUGUUUCUCCCACAAAGUAACACUACCAUUACACUUGCUCGAGCUUUCUUCAGGGACAGAGGGCGUGUCGCUGGUGUGUUGGCUGCGGACGUCGAUACCAGGCAAAUGGACGCAGUGUUCACCAACAUUCUACAGCCCUGUAUCAGGGAGAACAAGCACUGUUUUAUUAUAAAUGA